ensembl:lncRNA
UAGCUAGUCCUUUUUUCCUCAUGAUGUUACUGUGAUGUAUCAUCUCUUUGAGGUAUUAUUCUUAAUUUAAUAUUUUCAUGUAUUUGUUCCAUCACAUCUGGUUUACGUAGUUCUGAUGUCUUUUCUUAUUGUAGUUUGAUGCCUAAAUAUCUAUUAUUUUGGAUUUUGAACUUGUUUUUCCCUGAAGGUACCACAUUCUUGGCUUGUAGUGUGUAUAAGGUGGGAGGAACAAGGCCAAGAACUUCCUUAUGUUUCUGGUAGGUUUAAAGUGUAAAGCAGGGGAAGAAUUCUCCAUGGCAGAGGUCACAGUACCAGAGCUGAGCUUGGACAUCCAAAUUGGAAUUUUCUCUUCAGAAAAUUCUGAAUCUCAAAAAACUGUGUCACCUGUUCCAUUAGCUUUUCUCCCUCUUUGUUCUUGGUGCUAUCUGAUGUAAUAAUUAUCUCAGAGGAAUGCAACAGAGAGAAGAAAGUCAACUUCAAAGCUCUCUUUCUGCCUAGACCUCAUGCAUAGCAGCAAGUUACAGCUGACUUCAUUACUCUCAAGAAUUCCUCAUGGGAGAAAUGAUCUUUACACACAACUUUGAUUUCCAUGGGACACAUACUGUGAUUUUUACUUGGAGAAUAACCAAAAUUGGAAACAAGACAAAUAGCAAUCCAAAUUAAUGUGAACAUAAAACAAAAGAAUUUACCUAGAAGAUUUAUAAAAGAAGAGGAGGGACAAAUAGAAUCAUCUGGAAUUUAUGCAUUAUCUGGUGCAACUGCCUGUCUUGAUACCCCUAUAUUCCUGUGAAACCCACUUGUCCCCUGAGGUUACCUGAAGAUGAUGUAUCAGUCGGAAUGCCUUUGACAAGUUCCAGUGUCAGCUGUGUUGGCUUAAACAAAAAGUACUGCAUAAGCUUCCAUAAAAAGAAAUCUCGAGGCAGGCAGCCGGUGGCUGAAUCUUUCCAUGUUCUGAUAUACCAGUCAGUCUAAGGUUUAUCCGACCUCCACUCGCUCUGUGGUUGUAGGAUGGCUAUGAAAUGCCUGUAUCUUCAUUCACUUGACUCUUCAGAGCCCUUUAAUUCAUUUCCCCAACAAUUGCAAAUCUCAAUAUUUGCAUGUUAAUAAGAUCUGCUGAAGAAAAACAUUCCUAUCUGCUCUCAUUUUUUUGCAGCACAAAAUCAUGACAGUGACUGGGUUUCAUCAUUUUUUUGCUCACAAAUUUCUACACACGGAGGGGAGCAAUCAUCAGAUUUAUCUUAAGAAUAAUUUCAACUUUAUAAUACUUUCAGAAGCCAUAGAUACAAUCAAUUUUGAUUUUAAAUACUAUUUCUUUUCCUCAGUUUCACUUUAUUUUGUUUUCCUUUUAGCUAGUUCAAUGUCUAUAGUUUGUCAGUAAGAAAUGAACACAUUAAUAAGAGUAUUUAUAGGAAAUAUUCUUUAGGAAUCAUUUCUUAAAAAUAGUCCUAUAUUUUAAAGCACAAUUUAUUUUUAAUUGAAUAUCCAAUUCGCUUAUGUCAAAUAUAAAUAAUUGAUUCUUAUGGAAAUUACAAACAGAAAAAGAAAAAUCUCUCCAAUAACAUUACCAAAAAUUAAGGACUGUGAACAUGUGUUGCUUUCCAGAUUUUGUUUAAGAUUUCUGUUAUAAUCUUACCCACAUGUAAAUUGUAACAUAUCCAAUAUAUAGUUUGUCUUAUGAUAUGUUCUCUUAGCCUUAUGCACAAAAGAAUUUUCCCAUGCCACUAUUUUUAAAAACAGUACUAUGAUAUCCGUAAAAUAUUAAAAGAAUGGAUGUAGUAUUAAUUAUUUCCAUGCUUUUAUUUUUUAGAUUAUUUCUUAUCCUUUUAGUAUUAAAAUACCAUUUUUAUGUAGUGAUUAACUUCUUUGCAUCAAUUACUAUCCACAUUUUUUAUUAAUACUGUAUCUUUAAAUUUAUUUUUUUAAUGGAAUUACUGGUUGGAUAGCAUAUGAUUUCUUAAGUUUUAUCACACAAAUGAACAUAAUUGUUAAAAAAUAUAAUUAAAAAUUUUUUCUGGGCUAUUGAUAAUUUGCCCAGAAUAUAUAUAAAUGAUGAAUAAAUAUAAAUGAUAAAUAUAUAUAAAUAUAAAAUGAUUUCAUGCUAGUUUUCAUGUAUUUUUCAUUUUAUUGCAUCAGUUACAUAGUGAAUCCUAAGUCUUCUGUGACAGCAGCUACUGAAAACUGCAUAUUGCUUUAAAGUCUACAGAAUACAGUGUAGCUUUGAGCACUUCAAUAUUUCUUCACUUUUCAUCUGUAACAUGGAUGCAUAAUUUUGCAGUAUAAGCACAAAAAUUUUGCUUUGUUUUGUUUUGUUUUUGUAAGUAGAGGUUUACAUAAAACCGGUAAUCAUAAAAUCUCUUUAUCAUUUCGCAAAAAGAAAAAGCAACUCUAAUCAGCAAGUUUUAAAAUGGAAGGUUAACUCCAUGGAAAUCUACUUUGAUGUAAUAAAUUCCAUCUUGAUGAUUACAUCUUUAAUGUAUGAAAUUCAGAUGGAAAAAUCAAAGUAAAUUUUUUGGACAUCAUGGAAAGCUAUUUCUA